UGCAAUUCAUCACAGUCCACAAAGCACAGUUCCUAACAGAUUCUGAAAACGUGAUUUUAAAAAAAAUGAGAUUUAUCCGUAAACGAGGGCUAGGCUACAGUGGCAGGGCGGCUGUCAAUUCUUCUACGGAGUUUUAACCUACACUCAAUGGAUGCAUGAAAAAAAGAAAUGAAAUGAUUUUUUUAGCCACUUUAAAAAAUAAAGGUAGCUUAAGGAGGCUUUUAGGAUUUACCUUCUGCUCUAAUGAGUUUCAACCACCAUGGCUUAGAGAACAUUUCUUAAAGCUCAGUCAUCUUUCAUGUAUCCAUUGUUCUCCAAAGGGACUGAGUUUUGUUCCAUGGUCAGUCUUUUCCAUGU
rnacentral:lncRNA from 1 species